UUGGUUGAUCCUGCCAGUAGUGUAUGCUUCUCCUAAAGACUAAGCCAUGCAUGCCUUCGAAUACGAGGAAGCAAUUCUCUCUGAAUCUGCGAACGGCUCCGCAAACCAGUUGUAAACUAUAGCAAGCAGGCUCGGGGUCGGCUCUCACGGGUUGGCUUCGGGCGAUAUGGAUAACCCUGGUAAUUCUGAGGCUAAUACAUGAACGUAAAACCUGGUUGACUGGGCUUCGGUCUGGGAGGCUGGGGGAUGUGUGAUUGCAGGCUUGGGUAACACCGGGAAAGGGCACACGUCCAGACCGCGCUAUAAAGGAUGGGACCUCUUCGGGGGACCCGCCCCAGCGGCUCUUGCUGUGUGCUUCUGACCUAUCAACUAGACGGCAGCGUAAGGGACAUGCUAUGGUGACAACGGGUACAGAGGAUUAGGGUUCGAUCCUGGAGAGUGGGCCUGAGAGAUUGCUCAUACUUCUAAGGAAGGCAGCAGG
rnacentral:rRNA from 1 species